GUUUCAGCAGCCGCGGUAAGACGAACCGUGCAAACGUUGUUCGGAAUCACUGGGCUUAAAGGGCGCGUAGGCGGGUUUCCAAGUCUGUGGUGAAAUCCUCCAGCUUAACUGGAGAAGUGCCGUGGAUACUGGGAAUCUCGAGGAGGGUAGGGGCAUCUGGAACAGCCGGUGGAGCGGUGAAAUGCGUUGAUAUCGGCUGGAACUCCGAUGGCGAAGGCAAGGUGCUGGACCCUUUCUGACGCUGAGGCGCGAAAGCCAGGGGAGCAAACGGGAUUAGAUACCCGGGUAGUCC
rnacentral:rRNA from 1 species